GACGAACGCUGGCGGCGUGCCUAAUACAUGCAAGUAGAACGCACAGUUUAUACCGUAGCUUGCUACACCAUAGACUGUGAGUUGCGAACGGGUGAGUAACGCGUAGGUAACCUGCCUGGUAGCGGGGGAUAACUAUUGGAAACGAUAGCUAAUACCGCAUAAUAUUGAUUAUUGCAUGAUAAUUGAUUGAAAGAUGCUAUUGCAUCACUACCAGAUGGACCUGCGUUGUAUUAGCUAGUAGGUGAGGUAACGGCUCACCUAGGCGACGAUACAUAGCCGACCUGGGAGGGUGAUCGGCCACACUGGGACUGAGACACGGCCCAGACUCCUACGGGAGGCAGCAGGAGGGAAUCUUCGGCAAUGGACGAAAGUCUGACCGAGCAACGCCGCGGGAGUGAAGAAGGGUUUCGGAUCGUAAAGCUCUGUUGUAAGAGAAGAACGGGUGUGAGAGUGGAAAGUUCACACUGUGACGGUAUCUUACCAGAAAGGGACGGCUAACUACGUG
rnacentral:rRNA from 1 species